AACGAACACUGGCGGCAUGGAUUAGGCAUGCAAGUCGAACGAGAAAGUUCCCUUCGGGGAAUGAGUACAGUGGCGAACGGGUGAGUAACGCGUGGGAAACCUGCCCUUUUGUGGGGGAUAACAGUUCUAACGAGCUGCUAAUACCGCAUUCGACCUUUGGAUCGCAUGGUUCGAAGGUGAAAGGUGGCGACCUCUUCGGAGAGCUGCCGCAGAAGGAUGGUCCCGCGUCCCAUUAGCUUGUUGGUGGGGUAAUGGCCUACCAAGGCGACGAUGGGUAGCCGGCCUGAGAGGGUGUCCGGCCACACUGGGACUGAGAUACGGCCCAGACUCCUACGGGAGGCAGCAGUCGAGAAGCUUCGGCAAUGGGCGAAAGCCUGACCGAGCGAUGCCGCGUGAGCGAAGAAGGCCCUAUGGGUUGUAAAGCUCUGUCAGAUUGGGAAGAAAGCUUCGGGGUUAAUACCCCCGAAGUGUGACGGUACCAUCAGAGGAAGCACCGGCUAACUCCGU
rnacentral:rRNA from 1 species